UAAGAAGAGUCUUCCUGAGAAGAUUCCACUGGUAGGAAGCUGUUUUCCCUCUCUGUAUACAAAAGGACCAUUUCAAAGGGAGGAUAAAACCGAAUAUUAAAGUUGUUAGAAUUCAGAUUUCCUGUUAUAUUUCUGGAUGACUUUUGGGAUUUCAGAACAGUGAAGGCAGGAAACAGAAUAGUUGAAGAAGUAAUGAAGAAAACUACUUUGGCUUUAGGGAAUCCCUAGCUCAAAAUCAGAAAUAUUUACUUCAGUUUAAACUAGAAUGUUGUCAACAUAAUUUAAUGUUUGGAACCUUUUUUAUCCGACAGAUACAUAGUUGAAAACUUUCCAUGUUUUUGAUGGGAUGUUUUUGUUUUAACAUCCACAAACUGUUUGAGGUUAGGCAGUUGACACCAUCACAGUGGCUCAUUAUUUGGUAGCCUGUGCCUCUGUCAGUGACUGCUGAGCUCCCUGGACUGUAAAAGCUGUGGUCACUGUUGGUCUGACUGAGGACUGCUAUGUCUGGGGCAGAACCAUUUUUGGCAGAUGGCAGUCAGGAGUUGUUUCCCUGUGAAGUCUGUGGAAGACGCUUUGCAGCAGAUGUUCUGAAAAGACAUGGACCAAUAUGUAGAAAACUCUUCCACAAAAAGCGUAAACUUUUCAAUUCCUUGAAGCAGAGAUUACAGGGCAUGGACAUUCCCACUGUAAGGAAGGCCCCUCCAUCCAAGUCUCAACCUGUGAGGAAAUCUAACUGGAGACAACAACAUGAAGAUUUCAUUAACGCAAUUCAAUCCGUAAAGCAGUGCACCCUAGCUGUGAGAGAAGGCCGGCCUCUGCCUCCUGCACCCACUCCGAGUGUCAAUCCAGAUUAUAUCCAAUGCCCAUAUUGUAUGAGGAGAUUUAAUGAAACCGCAGCCGGUCGGCAUAUUAAUUUCUGCAAAGAUCAGUCUUCUCGCCGAGUCUUUGAUCCAGCUCAGACUGCAGCUAAAUUGGCUUCCAGAGCUCAGGGUAGGGCUCAGGCGAGUCCCAGGAAAGAACCAACUGUCACUCGUGCCGUGGGAGCUUUGCUACAGAGCAGGCCCAUGGAGGCAAAGACUGAGGUCUCAACCAAGUCCACUUCAUUCUGUGGUGGCUGGAGAAGAUACUUCGUAUGAAAUAUAUCUUUUUGAAAAAAUGUAUUAAGUCUUAACUCACGGCCUAACAUGUGGUCCAUUCUGGAAACUGUCCUGUGUGCACCUGAGAAGAAUGUGCACGCUGCUGCUGUUGGAUAGAGUGUUCCGCACAGGGAUCAGCCAUGGACCCUGCUUCUGGAGCAAACAGACAAGGAUUUAGUAAAUCUUCUAAAAAGGAGUAAGUCCUAGAAGCCAGGUAAGAAAAAAAAAAUCCCAUCCCUAAUGCAGGUGCUGCUGAUCAUAUAAUAUGCAGGUACAGUUACUAAACCUUUGAGAGUAAGUGUUCAUAGCAGGCAAACCUUGAACUGGAGUAACAAAAUAUAUGCCCUUAAAACUGUCUUGUUAAUGGUGGGUGCAGUGGUCACACUUGAAGUCCUAGCACUGUAGGAGGUUGAGGCAGGAGAUUGGAAAUUCAAGCCCAGUCUGGGCAAUUUACCAGCUUAGAAAUGGAAGGAAGGAAAGAAGGAAGGAAGGAAGGAAGGAAGGAAGGAAGGAAGGAAAAGAAAGAAAAGAAAGGCUGGUAGACACAACUCAGCAGUACAAAGGCUGUGGGCUCAAUCUUCAGAAUCACAAAAAGAAAAGAAAAUUAUUUUGUUAAACAUACAUUUUGAACAGAUGAUUAGCUUUUGAUUCAUAAUAGGAAAGGGAAUGAUUCCUCACUCUUGGAGUUUCUGCCUUGUCUCUUUUUCCAAACCACCCCCCCACCAAAGGACAGUUUUCUGAGAUUGAGAAUUGUUUACAACACACUUAUUGAUCUAAUGAAAUGAAGCCUGUUUUCUAACAUUCAGUGCGGAUACAGUGAAGUUCUAAAACAAUGACCUUUUUUUCUGCUUUCAGGCUGGCUCUCUGAAACUCUGAAGCCUGGUAAUCCCACCCAGGAAUGCCACCUCAGGGAAAGGAGGAAAGGAAGUGUCUGUCUUUUCCGGUCACCACUCCGAUCUUCAGUUUUCCUCCUUAUUUAUUCUUUUUUGAAAAAAAGUUAUUAAAUACAUCAACCUUUUA